rnacentral:rRNA from 1 species
UAGUGAGUUUGAUCCUGGCUCAGGAUGAACGCUGGCGGUCUGCUUAACACAUGCAAGUCGAGCGCAGGAAGCUCACGGAACUCUUCGGAGGGAAGUGAAGGGAAUGAGCGGCGGACGGGUGAGUAACACGUAAGGAACCUGCCCCAAGGAUUGGGAUAACUCCGAGAAAUCGGGGCUAAUACCGAAUAGUUCUUCAGACCGCAUGGUCUGAUGAUGAAAGGCGCUUCGGCGUCACCUUGGGAUGGCCUUGCGGUGCAUUAGCUAGGUU